rnacentral:rRNA from 1 species
AACGCGUAUGCAACCUACCUUAAUCAGGGGGAUAGCCCGAAGAAAUUCGGAUUAACACCGCAUAAAAUCACAGUACAGCAUUGUACAAUGAUCAAAUAUUUAUAGGAUUAAGAUGGGCAUGCGUGUCAUUAGUUAGUUGGCGAGGUAACGGCUCACCAAGACCACGAUGACUAGGGGAUCUGAGAGGAUGACCCCCCACACUGGUACUGAGACACGGACCAGACUCCUACGGGAGGCAGCAGUAAGGAAUAUUGGUCAAUGGAGGCAACUCUGAACCAGCCAUGCCGCGUGCAGGAAGACAGCCCUCUGGGUCGUAAACUGCUUUUAUUCGGGAAUAAACCUACUUACGUGUAAGUAGCUGAAUGUACCGAAGGAAUAAGGAUCGGCUAACUCCGUGCCAGCAGCCGCGGUAAUACGGAGGAUCCAAGCGUUAUCCGGAUUUAUUGGGUUUAAAGGGUGCGUAGGCGGCUUAUUAAGUCAGGGGUGAAAGACGGUGGCUCAACCAUCGCAGUGCCCUUGAUACUGAUGAGCUUGAAUACACUAGAGGUAGGCGGAAUGUGACAAGUAGCGGUGAAAUGCAUAGAUAUGUCACAGAACACCGAUUGCGAAGGCAGCUUACUAUGGUGUCAUUGACGCUGAGGCACGAAAGCGUGGGGAUCAAACAGGAUUAGAUACCCUGGUAGUCCACGCCCUAAACGAUGAAUACUCGCUGUUAG